rnacentral:rRNA from 1 species
UACGUAGGGACCGAGCGUUGUUCGGAUUCAUUGGGCGUAAAGGGUGCGUAGGUGGCGCCGUAAGUCGGGUGUGAAAUUUCGGAGCUUAACUCCGAAACUGCAUUCGAUACUGCGGUGCUUGAGGACUGGAGAGGAGACUGGAAUUCAUGGUGUAGCAGUGAAAUGCGUAGAGAUCAUGAGGAAGACCAGUGGCGAAGGCGGGUCUCUGGAACGCAACUGACGCUGAGACGCGAAAGCGUGGGGAGCAAACAGG